GAGGACAGACACCAGCCUGUCGCCGGCGGCCCUAGAUGUUCAGGCAGGAGGGCACUCUGCCCCGGAGCCUGGCCGGUCGCGGGCAGGCGCUGAGGUGCGCCCAGAGGGCUCUUGGGCAUUUCUGGGAAAUCUGAGUUUCAUCCUUCAGAAAAGGCGAGAACCACUUAAGGGGCAGGCCUUUGUGCCCACUCCUCUCCUGCGUGGGAGGCCGGCCCGGGGUGGGUAGAGACGCGGUGGAAAGGUUAUGAGAACCACAGCGUUGCUGAUUGGGAGCCCGUUUGGUUCCAGCACAAACGCCGGAAUCUUCUAUCGCAGCUGCCUGGGUGUCUGGGAUGAACACCUUUCCUGUUUAGGCCACUUUCUGUUUGCUCUUCAGUCACCAACAGCUCCGGUGUCCUGACCGCUCCUUAAGGCAGCCACGUUUGGGGCUCCCUCUCAUCUGGGCGAGGGGCUGGGGGAAGCCACCCACGUCAGCCAGUGGCACCCGCCCCGCUGGCAGCCAGGGAGACACCCGCACAGUGUCAUCCUCCGGCUGGCGCAGCCGUGCCCGGGUGUGAGGUGGGUGUGGAAUGAGCCCCUCCAGGGUGCCCUGCCUCCUGCCCAAGUCUUCCUGGGGAGACUGGGGAGUGCGAGGUUUGUUUCAAGAUGCUGAGAAACCGCAGUCCUUUGCCAGGUUGGGGUCUGUCAGUACAGGCCCCUAAGAAUCUCAGUAGGCCUUUGGUCGCAUCUAGCCAUUGCUCAGGAAUCGACCCAGGUGGGGGCUUUUGGCCCUGACAGCGGUGUUGGUUGCUCGCCCAUCCCCUUUGCUCUCUGCCUCCACCUGCAGGCCAGGUGAUCGACAGAUGGCUGAAGGGAGGGGCGGGGAGGGUGCCUCCCCGUCCUGUGGUGCCUGGGAGGGCCUGUUCCCAGCCUUGUCCCCGCCCUUCACUUUAGCUUGUGGUGAGGAAUUCGGCCUUUUCCACUGUUCGUUCAGGGUUGAAUUGUGCCCACCUCCCCACCCACCAAAGAUACGUGAAGUCCUAAUCCUCAGUACUGCAGGAUGGGACUUUUCUUUGGAAAUAGUGUCUUUAUCGAGGUAAUCAAGUUAAAAAUGAGGUUAUAGAGUACCCCAGUCCAAUAUGAAAAGGGGAAAUUUGGAGACAGUGACGGAACAGAUAUGCUCAAAGGAAAGAUGUGAGAACACAGAAGACCUUGGGAGGAUGGAGGGCUUUAUGAUGCAACCCCAAGCCAAGGACGCCAAAGACGUCAGCAAAGCACCGGAAGCUGGAAGAGGCAAGAAAGGGUUCCCUUCUAGGUUUCCACGGGCGUGUGGCCCUGACCGCUCCUUGAUUUUGGACUUCUGACUUCCAGAGCUGUGAGAAAAUAAAUUUCUGUUGUUCC
rnacentral:lncRNA from 1 species